rnacentral:rRNA from 1 species
AUUGAACGCUGGCGGCAUGCUUUACACAUGCAAGUCGAACGGCAGCGCGGGCUUCGGCCUGGCGGCGAGUGGCGAACGGGUGAGUAAUGCAUCGGAACGUGCCCAGUAGUGGGGGAUAGCCCGGCGAAAGCCGGAUUAAUACCGCAUACGACCUGAGGGUGAAAGCGGGGGACCGUAAGGACUCGCGCUAUUGGAUCGGCCGAUGUCGGAUUAGCAAGUCGGUGGGGUAAAGACUUACCAAGGGGACGAUCCGUAGCUGGUCUGUGAGAACGACUAGUCACACUGGGACUGAGUCACCGCCCAGAGUCCUACGGGAGGCAGCAGAGGGGAAUUUUGGACAAUGGGGGCAACCCUGAUCCAGACAUGCCGCGUGCGGGAAGAUGGCCUUCGGGUUGUAAACCGCUUUUGUUCGGGAAGAAAUCCUCUGGUCUAAUACCCCGGGUGGAUGACGGUACCGGAAGAAUAAGCACCGGCUAACUACGUG